rfam:Paenibacillus naphthalenovorans strain 32O-Y, complete genome.
UCCGCCGCGAGGCGGAAUCUGAAGGAAGCCGGAGGCAAAAGCACGGGCCAAGGUACACGAACCCAAUUUGAGGCAGUGUUAGUCGGAUGAGCCUCCACACCAAGGCAAAAUCCAAAGCCGCCAAGGGCUGACGCUGUAGACUUGGGUGGUCGCGGGAAAGGAGAGAGGA